rnacentral:lncRNA from 1 species
CAGAAUAAACCUCAGCUCUGUUCUCACUGUAAAUCCUUUGGCCAAUCUCUUCUUCGGUGCCCUUCCGCCAACUUCAAAUGGGUUCCUAAACCUCCCCCUUUGGUUCCGGACCCAUCGGUUACUUUUGGAACUUCUGGAGUUGUCAUCCCGCAUGCCCCUCCUCAUGGCUUGCCAACGGAUAGCUGGACUUUGGUGUCUAAAGGUCCCAAGCUUGAUGGCCCUUCAGCUUCCCCCCUCUCCUCGGUGAUGCCUAGCCCUAAUCCUUUUAACCUUAUCUCGCCCUCUGAUGGUUAUUCGGAUACAAAUACCACUCCUCCGCCCAACCCUCUUGUGACCAAGUUAAGACAAAUUGAUGAGAAGGAUGUCCGUGACCUUAAGCAUAAGGCCAAAACUUUUGCUGACACAACCCAAGUUUCUAAGAAAAAGAUCAAAGGAGCGGGGAGCCAC